rnacentral:rRNA from 1 species
UCGAGAAUCAUUCACAAUGGGCGAAAGCCUGAUGGUGCGACGCCGCGUGGGGGAUGAAGGCCCUAGGGUCGUAAACCCCUGUCGGUUGCGAGUAAGGCCCUACUUACGUAGGGAUUGAUAUUAGCAACAAAGGAAGGGACGGCUAACUCCGUGCCAGCAGCCGCGGUAAUACGGAGGUCCCAAGCGUUGUUCGGAUUUACUGGGCGUAAAGCGUGCGUAGGCGGUGAGAUAAGUUUGGCGUGAAAUCCCCGGGCCCAACCCGGAAAAUGCGCUGAAAACUAUCCCACUAGAGGAUUGGAGGGGAGACUGGAAUUCCUGGUGUAGCAGUGAAAUGCGUAGAUAUCAGGAGGAACACCGGUGGCGAAGGCGAGUCUCUGGACAAUUCCUGACGCUGAGGUACGAAGGCCAGGGUAGCGAAAAGG